rnacentral:rRNA from 1 species
UACGUAGGUGGCAAGCGUUAUCCGGAAUUAUUGGGCGUAAAGCGCGCGUAGGUGGCCACAUAAGUCCGUUGUGAAAGUCAAAGGCUCAACCUUUGAAAGCCGAUGGAUACUGUGUGGCUAGAGUACGGAAGAGGCGAGUGGAAUUCCUGGUGUAGCGGUGGAAUGCGCAGAUAUCAGGAGGAACACCAAUAGCGAAGGCAGCUCGCUGGGACGUUACUGACACUGAGGCGCGAAAGCGUGGGGAGCGAACAGG